rnacentral:rRNA from 1 species
GAUGAACGCUGGCGGCGUGCCUAAUACAUGCAAGUCGAGCGAACGGACGAGAAGCUUGCUUCUCUGAUGUUAGCGGCGGACGGGUGAGUAACACGUGGAUAACCUACCUAUAAGACUGGGAUAACUUCGGGAAACCGUAGCUAAUACCGGAUAAUAUUUUGAACCGCAUGGUUCAAAAGUGAAAGACGGUCUUGCUGUCACUUAUAGAUGGAUCCGCGCUGCAUUAGCUAGUUGGUAAGGUAACGGCUUACCAAGGCAACGAUGCAUAGCCGACCUGAGAGGGUGAUCGGCCACACUGGAACUAAGACACGGUCCAGACUCCUACGGGAGGCAGCAGUAGGGAAUCUUCCGCAAUGGGCGAAAGCCUGACGGAGCAACGCCGCGUGAGUGAUGAAGGUCUUCGGAUCGUAAAACUCUGUUAUUAGGGAAGAACAUAUGUGUAAGUAACUGUGCACAUCUUGACGGUACCUAAUCAGAAAGCCACGGCUAACUACGU